rnacentral:rRNA from 1 species
CCUACGGGAGGCAGCAGUGGGGAAUAUUGCACAAUGGGGGAAACCCUGAUGCAGCGACGCCGCGUGAGUGAAGAAGUAAUUCGUUACGUAAAGCUCUAUCAGCAGGGAAGAAACACUGACCUUACGGUCAGCAGACGGUACCUGAGUAAGAAGCACCGGCUAACUACGUGCCAGCAGCCGCGGUAAUACGUAGGGGGCAAGCGUUAUCCAUAUGUACUGGGUGUAAAGGGAGUGUAGACGGUGCGCCAAGUCCGGAGUGAAAUGACGCAGCUUAACUGCUGAACUGCUUUGGAAACUGGCGAACUAGAGUGCGGGAGGGGUAAGCGGAAUUCCUAGUGUAGCGGUGAAAUGCGUAGAUAUUAGGAGGAACACCGGUGGCGAAGGCGGCUUACUGGACCGUAACUGACGUUGAGUCUCGAAAGCGUGGGGAGCAAACAGGAUUAGAUACCCGAGUAGUC